UGAUGUUUUCAGAGUUCCAGGGCCAGUAGUGCAAAACUGUGCAGGAAGGGUAACGACAACAACUUAAUGUGUAACUUGCUUGAAGAUAGAUCUCUAUAUGCAAAGCGAGGAUGUCCACAGAACAGGAUAGAGGAGAGCAUGGCUGCAGAGUCACUAAUCAAGACCUCCGGAAACCAAGCAGAAAGCAGGAACCAAUUAAGGAGUGGGCCGUGGAACAAGUACAGGGACUGCAACUCAUGGCUUCAUGCCCAGGGCUGAUCCUAGAGGGCAAGUCUACUUGAAUUAUUCCUUUAUGGUUUGACUGGGCUCCCCACUGCAGGUCUACAUAUUCACUCUACAACUG